UAAGUGUCUGCGUCCUUCCCACCAGUUUGCCAUUCUCCUUCGUCUGGUUCAACAUGCUCUGUCUGGUGCUGCUAGCUCUCCUUCCGACAGUCCCAAUACGCUGACGAAUCUCUGCUCACAGAGCAUAGACUGUUCUAUCAA